CCUACGGGUGGCAGCAGUGGGGGAUAUUGCACAAUGGGGGGAACCCUGAUGCAGCGAAGCCGCGUGGGUGAAGAAGCGCCUCGGCGCGUAAAGCCCUGUCAGCAGGGAAGAAAAAGACGGUACCUGAAGAAGAAGCACCGGCAAACUACGGGCCAGCAGCGGUGGUAAUAAGUAGGGGGCCAGCGUUAUCCGGAUUUACUGGGUGUAAAGGGGGCGCAGACGGGGAUGAAAGCCAGGAGUGAAAGCCCGGGGCCCAACCCCGGGACUGCUGUUGAAACUGCGUGGCUGGAGUGCAGGAGGGGGAGGCGGAAUGCCUGGUGUAGCGGUGAAAUGCGUAGAUAUCAGGAGGAACACCGGUGGCGAAGGCGGCCUGCUGGACUGCAACUGACGUUGAGGCACGAAAGCGUGGUGAGCAAACAGGAUUAGAUACCCGAGUAGUC
rnacentral:rRNA from 1 species